CUACACUGGUUUCUUUUCAUAUCGUAUAAAUCUUUUGCCUUUUACUAAAGAUUUCCGUGGAGAGGAACAAGUACGAGUGUAAAAUAAUUUUUUGAGGCUUCACUGAGGGGAAGCU